rnacentral:tRNA from 1 species
GGGGGUGUGGUCUAGUGGGACAGCACCUGCCUAGCAAGUGGAAGGCCCUGAGUUCAAACCCCAGCACCACCA